rnacentral:rRNA from 1 species
AGAGUUUGAUCCUGGCUCAGGAUGAACGCUGGCGGCGUGCAUAACACAUUCAAGUCGAACGGUGAAACCCCUUCGGGGGCGGAUCAGUGGCGGACGGGUGAGUAACGCGUGAGCAACCUGCCUUUCAUUGGGGAAUAACAGAGGGAAACUUCUGCUAAUACCGCAUAACGCAUAACUGUCGCAUGGCAGAUAUGCCAAAGAUUUAUCGAUGAAAGAUGGGCUCGCGUCCGAUUAGGCAGUUGGUGAGGUAACGGCCCACCAAACCGACGAUCGGUAGCCGGACUGAGAGGUUGAACGGCCACAUUGGAACUGAGAAACGGUCCAGACUCCUACGGGAGGCAGCAGUGGGGAAUAUUGGGCAAUGGGCGCAAGCCUGACCCAGCGACGCCGCGUGAGGGAAGAAGGUCUUCGGAUUGUAAACCUUGAUCAUUGGGGAAGAAGAAAAUGACGGUACCCAAGGAGAAGCCACGGCUAACUACGUGCCAGCAGCCGCGGUAAUACGUAGGUGGCAAGCGUUAUCCGGAUUUACUGGGUGUAAAGGGUGUGUAGGCGGGUGUGCAAGUCAGAUGUGAAAACUAUGGGCUCAACUCAUAGCCUGCAUUUGAAACUGCAUAUCUUGAGAGUCGGAGAGGUAAACGGAAUUCCCGGUGUAGCGGUGAAAUGCGCAGAUAUCGGGAGGAACAUCGGUGGCGAAGGCGGUUUACUGGACGACAACUGACGCUGAGACACGAAAGCGUGGGGAGCAAACAGGAUUAGAUACCCUGGUAGUCCACGCUGUAAACGGUGCACACUCGGGGUGGGGCCAUUUCACCGGUCCCGUCCCUAGCUUACGCGUUAAGUGUGCCGCCUGGGGAGUACGGCCGCAAGGCUAAAACUCAAAGAAAUUGACGGGGGCCCGCACAAGCAGAGGAGCAUGUGGCUUAAUUCGAUGCAACGCGAAGAACCUUACCUGGAUUUGACAUCGUCGGCAAUGCCCUAUGAAAGUAGGGCGGAGGUUAUCCGAUAGACAGGUGCUGCAUGGCUGUCGUCAGUUCGUGCCGUGAGGUGUUUGGUUAAGUCCACCAACGAACGCAACCCCUUUGGUAUGUUGCCAUCAGGUAAUGCUGGGAACUCGUACCAUACUGCCUGUUUACGCAGGAGGAAGGUGGGGAUGACGUCAAGUCAGUAUGGCCCUUACAUCCAGGGCUGCACACGUGCUACAAUGGUCGGUACAGAGGGACGCGAGACCGCAAGGUGGAGCCAAUCCCAGAGAGCCGGCCUCAGUUCAGAUCGGGGUCUGCAACCCGACCCCGUGAAGUCGGAUUUGCUAGUAACGGCGUAUCAGCUACGACGCCGUGAAUGCGUUCCCGGGCCUUGCACUCACCGCCCGUCAA